AAAAACACAUUCUUUCUGUACCGUUUCUUUUGUGACUAUCUGCAAUAUUCCAUUAUUAAUGAAUAAAAAUAUACAUAAUGCAAGAAAAAUUGUCAGAUAUUUGAUCCAGCACAUUGUGCCACCAAGUUUCAACAAGAAAUCUAGUCUUAAGUUUAAGAUAGGUCCCCAAAAACAAUCCAUCAUUGUUUGGACGGCUAAGGGCACAUGGCCCUCAUUUUAUAACUAGCCACAACUCCCCUAAUGUUCCCUACAUUCCAAC
rnacentral:lncRNA from 1 species